AGGCAACCCGGAGUGCAUACCGCAGGCCAGCUGCCGAGCUUGCGCAUCCCAGCCAUCACUCUUCCACCUGCCCCUUAGAGUAGAGAAGAUGAGCAAGUUGAACUCGAAGUCCAGCCAGCCCUUGGCCUCCAAGCAGAAAAAGGACGGCAUUGAGAAGUGGGCCCAGGGCAGGCCACACAAGCAGCCUCCAGUGAGUCCCAGGACAGCGCUGGUAGGGAGUCAGAAGGAGCCUAGUCAAGUGUCAACACCUAAGAGACCUCGGGACAGACCAAAGGGAAGCAAAAACAAGGGUGCUACCAAGACCUGAAAAAUCACCACAGUUCUAGGAAGGAAACCAAGGGACAGACCCAAAAAACUGGAGGAGGAGGAAAAGGAGGGCAGCUCACAGGAGUCCGUGGAGGAGGAGCAGUGACCAUAUGUGCUGUUGGCUCCUCACUGGAGGAGCAGCUUCCUUUUGGGACAGGACGGCUAUGCUCAAUUCCCACCACCCCCAUCCCUUCCCCAGGCCCACCAUCACCAGCGGCGGUGGCCACCCCCAUCUUCUACCUGUGCCCUUACCACCACACCACACAGCACACCAGCUGCUGCAGGGCCCCCAUGCGCUGACUUGGGAGGAUUGCCCCCCACCCGGUUCCUUCCCCUUCCCCCCCACUCAUGCAUACACACGUGCCCUCCUGGACAAAGCCAAUGUCCCACUUAGCCACACCCUGACCCUGCUGCAUCCCCACUCCCUUGAUAGUGGGGACAUUGUUCUCUGGGCUUUUGGUUUGGGGACCACCUCUCUGCUCCUCCACUGUUCCCUCUGGCUUCCCAUAGAGGGGCCUGGGAGGGUUCCCCUGGCCUUAAAAGGGGCCCAAGCCCCCAUUCUGGGAUGCCUCACUCCACUGUCCUGGCAGCAGAAGGUGUGGCCUAUGGAAGGGGGUGCUGGCCCCCAGGAUUCCCUCACCCAAACUGUCUUUGUCACCACGUGGGGCUCACACCUUUCAUUGUUCCCUACCUUCCCUAGUCCCUGCACUAGGUUGGACAGCCCCCAUUGGCUACAGAAAAGCAGGAGGGGUGUGAGUCCCCUCCUCCCUCUUUGCAGUGGCUCCAGCCCCCUUGCCUUCUGCCUGGGAUCUGAGUACAUAUUGCAGUGAUGGAGAUUCAGUCACCUAUUGUCCUGGUGGGGCCCAUGAGCCCUGUGGCAGCCACCUGAGGUGGGCUGGGGCUGCUCCCCCAACCCUACUUUGCUUCCACCACUCAGCCAUUUCCCCCUCCUCAGAUGGGGCACCAAUAACAAGGAGGUCACCCUGCCUGGUCCCAAUCCUCCUGCUCUUCCCACCCCCCAAAAGUUCUGAUUCCAUCCAUUUUUCCUCUGUUCAUAAACUAAUUCUGGGCAGUUGUGUUGUUUUUGGUUCAAUGUUCCAUUCUUUGACAUCUGUUAUUGCUGCUGCUACCAGCGCCAAAUGUUCAUCCUCAUUGCCUCCUGCUCUGCCUAUGAUCCCCUCCCUGAGAUACUCUUUGUGGGGAAGAGGGGGUGGGACAUGGCAGGCUGGGUGACCAACUAUCCCAGUUGGGGUCCUGCACGUAGGAUGCUGCAGCUGAGUGAGCAAGGGGCCCCCAAUCGACCAUAAAGGGUAUAGGGGCCACCUCCUCUCCCUGGUCUGUCAGGGAGGGAUAGCCAUGAUCUGCCCCAACCUGGGGCUCCCCUUCUGGUUUCCUAUUUGCAGUUACUUGAAUU